rfam:Picea glauca, whole genome shotgun sequence.
AUGUAAUGUAAUUCCUAUAGCGUUAAUGCACUAGAUCAAAUUAGAACUCCAUAGUUAAGAACACUUGGUCUAGAGUAGUAUUGGGAUGGAUGACCUCCCGAGAAUUCCUAGUGUUUUACUUG